GGGUUGUGAGGUUAAGCGACUAAGCGUACACGGUAGAUGCCCUGGCAGUCAGAGGCGAUGAAGGACGUGCUAAUCUGCGAUAAGCGUCGGUGAGGUGAUAUGAACCGUUAUAACCGGCGAUUUCCGAAUGGGGAAACCCAGUGUGUUUCGACACACUAUCAUUAACUGAAUCCAUAGGUUAAUGAGGCGAACCGGGGGAACUGAAACAUCUAAGUACCCCGAGGAAAAGAAAUCAACCGAGAUUCCCCCAGUAGCGGCGAGCGAACGGGGAGGAGCCCAGAGCCUGAAUCAGUGUGUGUGUUAGUGGAAGCGUCUGGAAAGGCGCGCGAUACAGGGUGACAGCCCCGUACACAAAAAUGCACAUAUUGUGAGCUCGAUGAGUAGGGCGGGACACGUGGUAUCCUGUCUGAAUAUGGGGGGACCAUCCUCCAAGGCUAAAUACUCCUGACUGACCGAUAGUGAACCAGUACCGUGAGGGAAAGGCGAAAAGAACCCCGGCGAGGGGAGUGAAAAAGAACCUGAAACCGUGUACGUACAAGCAGUGGGAGCCUCUUAAUGGGGUGACUGCGUACCUUUUGUAUAAUGGGUCAGCGACUUAUAUUCUGUAGCAAGGUUAACCGAAUAGGGGAGCCGAAGGGAAACCGAGUCUUAACUGGGCGUUAAGUUGCAGGGUAUAGACCCGAAACCCGGUGAUCUAGCCAUGGGCAGGUUGAAGGUUGGGUAACACUAACUGGAGGACCGAACCGACUAAUGUUGAAAAAUUAGCGGAUGACUUGUGGCUGGGGGUGAAAGGCCAAUCAAACCGGGAGAUAGCUGGUUCUCCCCGAAAGCUAUUUAGGUAGCGCCUCGUGAAUUCAUCUCCGGGGGUAGAGCACUGUUUCGGCAAGGGGGUCAUCCCGACUUACCAACCCGAUGCAAACUGCGAAUACCGGAGAAUGUUAUCACGGGAGACACACGGCGGGUGCUAACGUCCGUCGUGAAGAGGGAAACAACCCAGACCGCCAGCUAAGGUCCCAAAGUCAUGGUUAAGUGGGAAACGAUGUGGGAAGGCCCAGACAGCCAGGAUGUUGGCUUAGAAGCAGCCAUCAUUUAAAGAAAGCGUAAUAGCUCACUGGUCGAGUCGGCCUGCGCGGAAGAUGUAACGGGGCUAAACCAUGCACCGAAGCUGCGGCAGCGACACUAUGUGUUGUUGGGUAGGGGAGCGUUCUGUAAGCCUGUGAAGGUGGCCUGUGAGGGUUGCUGGAGGUAUCAGAAGUGCGAAUGCUGACAUAAGUAACGAUAAAGCGGGUGAAAAGCCCGCUCGCCGGAAGACCAAGGGUUCCUGUCCAACGUUAAUCGGGGCAGGGUGAGUCGACCCCUAAGGCGAGGCCGAAAGGCGUAGUCGAUGGGAAACAGGUUAAUAUUCCUGUACUUGGUGUUACUGCGAAGGGGGGACGGAGAAGGCUAUGUUGGCCGGGCGACGGUUGUCCCGGUUUAAGCGUGUAGGCUGGUUUUCCAGGCAAAUCCGGAAAAUCAAGGCUGAGGCGUGAUGACGAGGCACUACGGUGCUGAAGCGACAAAUGCCCUGCUUCCAGGAAAAGCCUCUAAGCAUCAGGUAACAUCAAAUCGUACCCCAAACCGACACAGGUGGUCAGGUAGAGAAUACCAAGGCGCUUGAGAGAACUCGGGUGAAGGAACUAGGCAAAAUGGUGCCGUAACUUCGGGAGAAGGCACGCUGAUAUGUAGGUGAAGCGACUUGCUCGUGGAGCUGAAAUCAGUCGAAGAUACCAGCUGGCUGCAACUGUUUAUUAAAAACACAGCACUGUGCAAACACGAAAGUGGACGUAUACGGUGUGACGCCUGCCCGGUGCCGGAAGGUUAAUUGAUGGGGUUAGCGGUAACGCGAAGCUCUUGAUCGAAGCCCCGGUAAACGGCGGCCGUAACUAUAACGGUCCUAAGGUAGCGAAAUUCCUUGUCGGGUAAGUUCCGACCUGCACGAAUGGCGUAAUGAUGGCCAGGCUGUCUCCACCCGAGACUCAGUGAAAUUGAACUCGCUGUGAAGAUGCAGUGUACCCGCGGCAAGACGGAAAGACCCCGUGAACCUUUACUAUAGCUUGACACUGAACAUUGAGCCUUGAUGUGUAGGAUAGGUGGGAGGCUUUGAAGUGUGGACGCCAGUCUGCAUGGAGCCGACCUUGAAAUACCACCCUUUAAUGUUUGAUGUUCUAACGUGGGCCCCUUACCGGGGUUGCGGACAGUGUCUGGUGGGUAGUUUGACUGGGGCGGUCUCCUCCUAAAGAGUAACGGAGGAGCACGAAGGUUGGCUAAUCCUGGUCGGACAUCAGGAGGUUAGUGCAAUGGCAUAAGCCAGCUUGACUGCGAGCGUGACGGCGCGAGCAGGUGCGAAAGCAGGUCAUAGUGAUCCGGUGGUUCUGAAUGGAAGGGCCAUCGCUCAACGGAUAAAAGGUACUCCGGGGAUAACAGGCUGAUACCGCCCAAGAGUUCAUAUCGACGGCGGUGUUUGGCACCUCGAUGUCGGCUCAUCACAUCCUGGGGCUGAAGUAGGUCCCAAGGGUAUGGCUGUUCGCCAUUUAAAGUGGUACGCGAGCUGGGUUUAGAACGUCGUGAGACAGUUCGGUCCCUAUCUGCCGUGGGCGCUGGAGAACUGAGGGGGGCUGCUCCUAGUACGAGAGGACCGGAGUGGACGCAUCACUGGUGUUCGGGUUGUCAUGCCAAUGGCACUGCCCGGUAGCUAAAUGCGGAAGAGAUAAGUGCUGAAAGCAUCUAAGCACGAAACUUGCCCCGAGAUGAGUUCUCCCUGACUCCUUGAGAGUCCUGAAGGAACGUUGAAGACGACGACGUUGAUAGGCCGGGUGUGUAAGCGCAGCGAUGCGUUGAGCUAACCGGUACUAAUGAACCGUGAGGCUUAACCUUACAACGCCGAAG
rnacentral:rRNA from 1 species